GAUGAACGCUAGCGGCAGGCCUAAUACAUGCAAGUCGGACGGGAUUCAGGAGCUUGCUUCUGAUGAGAGUGGCGCACGGGUGCGUAACACGUAUGUAACCUACCUUUAUCAGGGGGAUAGCCUCUCGAAAGAGAGAUUAAGCCCGCAUAAAAUCACAGCACAGCAUUGUGUAAUGAUCAAAUAUUUAUAGGAUAAAGAUGGGCAUGCGGAACAUUAGCUAGAUGGCGGGGUAACGGCCCACCAUGGCGACGAUGUUUAGGGGAUCUGAGAGGAUGGCCCCCCACACUGGUACUGAGACACGGACCAGACUCCUACGGGAGGCAGCAGUAAGGAAUAUUGGUCAAUGGGCGGAAGCCUGAACCAGCCAUGCCGCGUGCAGGAAGACGGCCCUACGGGUUGUAAACUGCUUUUAUACGGGAAUAAACCCAGAUACGUGUAUCUGGCCGAAUGUACUGUAAGAAUAAGGAUCGGCUAACUCCGUG
rnacentral:rRNA from 1 species